CUCCAAGGGAUAAUAAGAUAUGAAAGUAUUGGUGAAAGACCAAGUGACUCUCUAAAGAAGUAUUGACUGUAGCUGGCCAAAAAGUUGGUACAGUUCUGCUAGAGUGAGGACGAAUCUCUUGAGAAUACCUUCAUAGAACUUGGAAAUAGCUUUAACAAUUCAUCAACCAAUAGAAGCAGUUUGACCCUUACGGGAGCCAGAAGGAACAACAAAAAGGGGGGUUAAACUACCUCCAUCCUUAGACUUUUCCAAAUAGAUUUCGAGACUUCUUGCCUCAUCCAAGGAAUGCCAGUCCUGUUAAUCUUGAAAGGAAGAUGGAAAGUAGGUAGGAGUACAAAGGACAACUCUGUAAGGAACAAAAAUUUUAAAGUUCUUGGGAUGAAAAGGUUUGGAUCUUGGAAACCCUUCUGCUGAGCUAAUGGCCAAAUAAAUACUUCAAGGAAACAACCAUAGAGAUGUAUCAUAAAGGGGAGCUAUCGACCAGGUACAAAAGCCAAAAGGAAGAUCCCAUUUAGAGUAAAGGCUUUAAAAGGAUGUCUGCUUUUUAACCGUUGUCAGAAAUCUGGAAGCCACAGUGUUCAAGGCCCACUUAAAUCAGAGAGAGCCUAAAUAGCUGACCUAAACUAGAAGAGAGUUCAGACUAAAAGCCUUUACCAAAGCUGGAUUGUAACAAUUCCAAACUUAUGCAAGUUACACCAAUCAGAGAAGACAUAACAAAUCCUAUAAUAGGUCUUAUUAUUAGUGGAUUAAUGCCUUGAUUGCAAAAGAGUAUAUACAACAGCUGAAGAAAAACCUCGUACUUCCCGCAUAGUCUUCAUCAUCAUUCAACAUCUGGUCUUCCCAACAUUCUCACAAUUCUUCUAAAUAUGUGAUUCAGCUGCCACUCAAACUUUUCCAGAUGAUGACGGCCAAGGAAAUCUGCUCUGAUAUUGUCCGGACCUGGGACAUAGACUGCAGAGCUACCCAAAAAACUUUUUGAGCCAAAUCCACCAUUGGUGAACUUUCUUGAAACAGACAUUGAGUCCUGGUGCCAUUGUGAUGUUUACAUAUGAGACUGUUGUCCAGUUGUCGGAUUCCCAAGAAACUCUUUCAGAACACUGGGUGAAAUUGAAG